AUGGUCUUGUAGCAGAUGCGAGCUUCAACUGGAAGCCAGUGGAGUGUGCGGAGGAGCGGGGUGACGUGACAGAACUUGGGGAGGUUGAACAGAGGGGAGAGGUGCGCUUGUGAAGUUGGAAAACAUUUUGUAUAUCCAGGCUCAAAGCAUCAGUCCACCAGCUGAAUACUCAGUCAGACUGGUGAAUGGGACCACUUCCUGUUCUGGGACAGUGGAAGUCUUCUACAGAGGAGAGUGGUUAGUUCUAUGUUGUAGGUGGUGGAACAUGAGAGAGACUAAGGUUGUGUGUAGAGAGCUGGGCUGUGGGAAUGCUGUAGCUGAAUCUAGAGGACCUCUGGUUGAAGAGGGAAGAGGAGGAGUCACACUAGGGAGUUGCAGUGGAAAUGAGU